UACGUAGGGGGCAAGCGUUGUCCGGAAUCAUUGGGCGUAAAGCGCGCGUAGGCGGCCAGAUUAGUCCGGUGUGAAAGUCAGAGGCUCAACCUUUGAAUGCCGCUGGAAACUGUCUGGCUUGAGUCCGGAAGGGGCGAGUGGAAUUCCUGGUGUAGCGGUGAAAUGCGCAGAUAUUCGCAAGAACACCAGUGGCGAAGGCGGCUCACUGGCCCGGUACUGACGCUGAGGUGCGAAAGCGUGGGGAGCAAACAGG
rnacentral:rRNA from 1 species